UAUGAGUUUGAUUCUUUCUUGUGAAUUAACUUUUUAGAUUAAAUUAUAUGUACAUUUUUGUAUUAAUAUUUUUCAGUAAUUAGUUUUUUUAAUAAUUUAUUUAGUUAUUUAGUUAUUUUAUAAUAGAAUAGAUAAAUCUUGUGCCAGCAUUCGCGGUUAUACAUUUUAUUCAAGUUAAUUAAUUAGGUUUAAUAAAUUAUUUAUUUUUUGAUUUUUUAUGUUUAAAAUUUAGGUGGAAUUUAUUUAAUUCUUAAAUUUCUUUUAAUAUUUUUUUAAGCUGAAAUUUUAAACUAGGAUUAGAUACCCUAUUAUUUUUAGUUUAAUUUAUCCUGAAUAUUACUAGUUUUGUUCUAUUAAACUCAAAGAAUUUGGCGGCAUUUAAUUCUUUUUAGAGGAACCUGUUUUUUAAUUGAUACACCACGAUAAUUUUUACUUUUAUUAUACUUGUAUAUCUCUAUAUUAUAGAAUGUUUUUAUAGAAUAUUUUCUUUUUUAAUUUAUUAAUUAAUUUUAGGUCAAGGUGCAGUUUUUAAUAGUUAAAAUGGGUUACAUUGUUUAUUACUUGGUUUAUGCUUAUCUUUAAUUUUAAUUAAAUUGGAUUUAACAGUAAUUUUAAUUAAUUAAUUAUUUUGAAUUUUGUUCUUUUUUGUGUACAUAUCGCCCGUCACUCCUUUAUUAGGGAUAAGUCGUAACAAAGUAGAUGUAUCGGAAGAUGUAUCUGAUUUAA
rnacentral:ncRNA from 1 species